CUGUUUAUUCCUCCCAGGCUUGGCCUCACACACAGUAUUUUACAUUGUUGUAAUCGUACUAUACUGUACACCAUAGACCCACGGCCUUUGAAAUGUUUUGACUGUGACCCUACGAUAAAAAAAUGUAUUUUAUACCAUGGCCCAGUUACCCAUGAAACCAAAACCAAAGUUUCACAAGACAUUGAGUGAUGGAGCUGGAAGGCGUCUGAGAUACCAUCUCGCCUGGCUGCCUGACUGAGGCCCACAGAGAGAGAGUGUAGUAAAUUCUAUCUGAACAGGAAGCAGGUUGUUGAGCAGUUGUUUAGUGCAGUUCUCAGCUUAACACCCAGCACAGGAAAAACUGAUUCAAGAACAUUGUCCAUCAACUGUCAAUCAACAUUUAUUGUCAGAACACUCUUCACAGCAUUGGUUCCAAUCCCGGAAAAACCAGACUCUGUGCUUCCCAAUUAUCACAGGCACCGGCCCAGGAGAGGUGAGAAGAGGAAGAAAAACACUGUGUUCUUUGAGAAGUGACUCCUUCUGCAUUUGUUUGGCACCAAGAAA
rnacentral:lncRNA from 1 species